rnacentral:rRNA from 1 species
GACGAACGCUGGCGGCGUGCCUAAUACAUGCAAGUAGAACGCUGAAGGAGGAGCUUGCUUCUCGGGAUGAGUUGCGAACGGGUGAGUAACGCGUAGGUAACCUGCCUGGUAGCGGGGGAUAACUAUUGGAAACGAUAGCUAAUACCGCAUAAUAGUAGAUGUUGCAUUACAUUUGCUUAGAAGGUGCAAUUGCAUCACUACCAGAUGGACCUGCGUUGUAUUAGCUAGUUGGUGAGGUAACGGCUCACCAAGGCAACGAUACAUAGCCGACCUGAGAGGGGGAUCGGCCACACUGGGAGUGAGACACGGCCCAGACUGCUACGGGAGGCAGCAGUAGGGAAUCUUCGGCAAUGGACGGAAGUCUGACCGAGCAACGCCGCGUGAGUGAAGAAGGUUUUCGGAUCGUAAAGCUCUGUUGUAAGAGAAGAACGAGUGUGAGAGUGGAAAGUUCACACUGUGACGGUAUCUUACCAGAAAGGGACGGCUAACUACGUG